AUUGAACGCUGGCGGCAGGCCUAACACAUGCAAGUCGAACGAGUGGCGGACGGGUGAGUAAUGUCUGGGAAACUGCCUGAUGGAGGGGGAUAACUACUGGAAACGGUAGCUAAUACCGCAUACCUUCCGAUGUGCCCAGAUGGGAUUAGCUGGUGGGUGGGGUAACGGCUCACCAAGGCGACGAUCACUAGCUGGUCUGAGAGGAUGACCAGCCACACUGGAACUGAGACACGGGCCAGACUCCUAAGGGAGGGAGCAGUGGGGAAUAUUGCACAAUGGGCGCAAGCCUGAUGCAGCGAUGCCGCGUGUAUGAAGAAGGCCUUCGGGUUGUAAAGUACUGUCAGCGGGGAGGCGAUACCCGCAGAAGAAGCACCGGCUAACUCCGUGCCAGCAGCCGCGGUAAUUC
rnacentral:rRNA from 1 species